UACGUAGGCAGCGAGCGUUGUCCGGAAUUACUGGGCGUAAAGCGUGCGCAGGCGGUCAUGCAAGACAGAUGUGAAAUCCCCGGGCUCAACCUGGGAACUGCAUUUGUGACUGCAUGGCUGGAGUGCGGCAGAGGGGGAUGGAAUUCCGCGUGUAGCAGUGAAAUACGUAGAUAUCAGGAGGAAUACCGGUGGCGAAGGCGGCUAUCUGGCCAUGUACUGACGCUGAGGUGCGAAAGCGUGGGGAGCAAACAGG
rnacentral:rRNA from 1 species